rnacentral:rRNA from 1 species
AGUGAACGCUGGCGGUAGGCCUAACACAUGCAAGUCGAACGGCAGCACAGUAAGAGCUUGCUCUUACGGGUGGCGAGUGGCGGACGGGUGAGGAAUACAUCGGAAUCUACUUUUUCGUGGGGGAUGACGUAGGGAAACUUACGCUAAUACCGCAUACGACCUACGGGUGAAAGCAGGGGAUCUUCGGGCCUUGCGCGAUUGAAUGAGCCGAUGUCGGAUUAGCUAGUUGGCGGGGUAAAGGCCCACCAAGGCGACGAUCCGUAGCUGGUCUGAGAGGAUGAUCCGCCACACUGGAACUGAGACACGGUCCAGACUCCUACGGGAGGCAGCAGUGGGGAAUAUUGGACAAUGGGCGCAAGCCUGAUCCAGCCAUACCGCGUGGGUGAAGAAGGCCUUCGGGUUGUAAAGCCCUUUUGUUGGGAAAGAAAAGCAGCAGGUUAAUACCCCGCUGUUCUGACGGUACCCAAAGAAUAAGCACCGGCUAACUUCGUG